rnacentral:rRNA from 1 species
CCCUUAGAUGUUCUGGGCCGCACGCGCGCUACACUGACGAUGUCAGAGAGUGUCUCCUUCACCGAGAUGUGUGGGUAAUCUUUUAAACAUCGUCGUGCUGGGGAUAGAUCAUUGCAAUUUUUGAUCUUAAACGAGGAAUUCCUAGUAAGCGCGAGUCAUCAGCUCGCGCUGAUUACGUCCCUGCCCUUUGUACACACCGCCCGUCGCUACUACCGAUGAGUCGUCCGGUGAAGUUCGUAGACCUCGUGAUCGCGGAUCACUGGGGGAAGCAAAAUGAACCUCGCGGUUUAGAGGAAGGAGAAGUCGUAACA